rnacentral:lncRNA from 1 species
UGGAUUUCGGUUUUGAUUAAGGGUUAACGAAAACCCAGCGCUCGCCGGAAUCGGCCAGAAACCUGGAAGUCUCCCAAGUUUUGGGAUGAAGACGAUUAGGAAAAUAUCAGGGGCAGUGCCCGUAAACUUCAGUUCUACAGUUUGAUCACUGAGUUUCAUUUGUUAUCAAUACAAUUUAACCGCAUUGGAAACAAGAAAAAGGGAGAAACCUUCAAGUGUAACUCCAUGGCGGAGAUUACUCCCAACCGAGACGAGGACAGGAG